rnacentral:misc_RNA from 1 species
AACGCACAUUGCGCCCGUUAGCAUUCUAGCGGGCAUGCCUGUUCGAGCGUCAUUUCAACCCUCAGGACCCCCCUUUAGGGGAGGGGACCUGGCGUUGGGGACCGGCCCGCCUCCGCGCGGCGCCGCCCCCGAAAUCUAGUGGCGGUCUCGCUGCAGCCUCCCCUGCGUAGUAGUAACAACCUCGCAUCGGAGCGCGGCGCGGCCACGCCGUAAAACCCCCGACUUUCUGAACGUUGACCUCGGAUCAGGUAGGAAUACCCGCUGAACUUAA